rnacentral:tRNA from 1 species
UUAAUUGAAGCCAAAAUUAAAAGAGGCAUUUCAUUGUUAAUGAAAAGAUUGAUUAUUAUUUAAUCCAAUUAAA